GAGUGGAAAUCAGAGAAUUCCAAGUGAGCAGGGUUAGAACAGAGCUACGGAGCAUGCUGAUGACACUUCACAAUUUGAUUCUUUAUAAAACACUGUCCCUGUCUCAGUUUCACAGAUUCCAAGAGUUAAGAGUUAAGAGAGAGUAAGUUUGUUUCUUGGUGGGAGAGAUAUUGGCUUCAGUCCACAAGAAACACAUGCUAUUUCUUUCUUUUUUUUUUUUUUUUACUUAAUUGUAAGAUAUACUUACUUUAUUUGCAAGGUGGAGUGACAGGGAGAGGAGAAAGGGAGAGAGAGAUGCCAUCCAAUGGUUCACUCUUCAAAUGCUUACAAACAGCCUGGGGUAGCCCAGGCGAAAGCCAUGGAUCCAGGGAACUCCAUCCGGGUCUCCAACAUGGGAGGCAGGGACCCAAGUACUUCGAUCCUCAUCUACCACCUCUGUACAUUAGCAGAAAGCUGAAUUGGAUGCACAGAGGAGCCAGGACUCAAAUCAGGCACACCCACACCGGGAUGGAAUGUGGGAUCUCAACAACAGUUUAACUGCUGUGCCACAACACCCACCCCACACAACCGCCACUGGCACCUAAAGGUGAACAUUAAAUGAAUCAUCAUCUGCAAGAACUCAACAUGGUGCCUGUGCGUGCUAGGAAUUCCCAGGUGUUACAUCACCUACCUGGUUGCCUUCUCCCCCCUUCUCUUCUUCCCUCUUCCUGUUCUUCUAUUUGCUAGUCAUUGUCAAGGUAGAGUCAUGUCAGUGGCUCAGGCUCCCUUGAAUUGCUUCCAAAUGGCAGACUGAAAACAGACAACACAACUACAGCCACUGGAAAAAGGAGCAACAUCAGCAACCACCAGGAACAAGAGAAUAUUCGAUUCUUUAUCUUUAAAAUGUAAUUAUAUCAAUAAAAAGAGCAACAAUUUUUUCUU